CCUACGGGAGGCAGCAGUGGGGAAUUUUGGACAAUGGGCGAAAGCCUGAUCCAGCCAUGCCGCGUGCGGGAAGAAGGCCUUCGGGUUGUAAACCGCUUUAGUCCGGGAAAAAGGGGUGCGAGGAUAAUACCCUCGUGCUUUGAUGGUACUGGAAGAAUAAGCACCGGCUAACUACGUGCCAGCAGCCGCGGUAAUACGUAGGGUGCGAGCGUUAAUCGGAAUUACUGGGCGUAAAGCGUGCGCAGGCGGUCUUGUAAGACAGUCGUGAAAGCCCCGGGCUUAACCUGGGAACUGCGAUUGUGACUGCAAGGCUAGAGUGUGUCAGAGGGGGGUGGAAUUCCACGUGUAGCAGUGAAAUGCGUAGAGAUGUGGAGGAACACCGAUGGCGAAGGCAGCCCCCUGGGAUAACACUGACGCUCAUGCACGAAAGCGUGGGGAGCAAACAGGAUUAGAUACCCUGGUAGUCCACGCCCUAAACGAUGUCAACUGGUUGUUGGAAGGGUAACCUUUUAGUAACGAAGCUAACGCGUGAAGUUGACCGCCUGGGGAGUACGGUCGCAAGAUUAAAACUCAAAUGAAUUGACGG
rnacentral:rRNA from 1 species